rnacentral:rRNA from 1 species
UACGAUACGAGUUUGAUAUGGCUCAGGACGAACGCUGGCGGCGUGGAUUAGGCAUGCAAGUCGAACGGUAGGGUUCCUUCGGGGACCUGAGAGUGGCGAACGGGUGAGUAACACGUAGGUGAUCUACCCUCAAAUCGGGGACAACCCAGGGAAACUUGGGCUAAUACCGGAUGACAGCUCCUUUCGGGGAGUUUGAAAGAUGGCUUCGGCUGUCGUUUGGGGAUGAGCCUGCGCUCUAUUAGUUAGUUGGUGGGGUAACGGCCUACCAAGGCGAUGAUAGAUAGGCGGCCUUAACGGGUGGUCGCCCACACUGGGGUUGAGAUACGGCCCAGACUCCUACGGGAGGCAGCAGUCGAGAAUAGUCUACAAUGGUCGAAAGACUGAUAGUGCGACGCCGCGUGAACGAAGAAGCCCUUCGGGGUGUAAAGUUCUUUUAUAUGUGAGCAGUGGGUUUUAUGUGAACAGCAUGAGAUCAGAGAUAUUAGCAUAUGAAUAAGCAACGGCUAACUCCGUG